GGGUUGUGAGGUUAAGCGACUAAGCGUACACGGUGGAUGCCCUGGCAGUCAGAGGCGAUGAAGGACGUGCUAAUCUGCGAAAAGCGUCGGUAAGGUGAUAUGAACCGUUAUAACCGGCGAUGUCCGAAUGGGGAAACCCAGUGCAAUUCGUUGCACUAUCGUUAACUGAAUACAUAGGUUAACGAGGCGAACCGGGGGAACUGAAACAUCUAAGUACCCCGAGGAAAAGAAAUCAACCGAGAUUCCCCCAGUAGCGGCGAGCGAACGGGGAGCAGCCCAGAGUCUGAAUCAGCUUGUGUGUUAGUGGAACGGUCUGGAAAGUCCGACGGUACAGGGUGAUAGUCCCGUACACCAAAAUGCACAGGUUGUGAACUCGAAGAGUAGGGCGGGACACGUGGUAUCCUGUCUGAAUAUGGGGGGACCAUCCUCCAAGGCUAAAUACUCCUGACUGACCGAUAGUGAACCAGUACCGUGAGGGAAAGGCGAAAAGAACCCCGGCGAGGGGAGUGAAAAAGAACCUGAAACCGUGUACGUACAAGCAGUGGGAGCACCUUCGGGUGUGACUGCGUACCUUUUGUAUAAUGGGUCAGCGACUUAUAUUCUGUAGCAAGGUUAACCGUAUAGGGGAGCCGCAGGGAAACCGAGUCUUAACUGGGCGUUAAGUUGCAGGGUAUAGACCCGAAACCCGGUGAUCUAGCCAUGGGCAGGUUGAAGGUUGGGUAACACUAACUGGAGGACCGAACCGACUAAUGUUGAAAAAUUAGCGGAUGACUUGUGGCUGGGGGUGAAAGGCCAAUCAAACCGGGAGAUAGCUGGUUCUCCCCGAAAGCUAUUUAGGUAGCGCCUCGUGAACUCAUCUUCGGGGGUAGAGCACUGUUUCGGCUAGGGGGUCAUCCCGACUUACCAACCCGAUGCAAACUACGAAUACCGAAGAAUGUUAUCACGGGAGACACACGGCGGGUGCUAACGUCCGUCGUGAAGAGGGAAACAACCCAGACCGCCAGCUAAGGUCCCAAAGUCAUGGUUAAGUGGGAAACGAUGUGGGAAGGCACAGACAGCCAGGAUGUUGGCUUAGAAGCAGCCAUCAUUUAAAGAAAGCGUAAUAGCUCACUGGUCGAGUCGGCCUGCGCGGAAGAUGUAACGGGGCUAAACCAUGCACCGAAGCUGCGGCAGCGACACUAUGUGUUGUUGGGUAGGGGAGCGUUCUGUAAGCCUGCGAAGGUGUGCUGUGAGGCAUGCUGGAGGUAUCAGAAGUGCGAAUGCUGACAUAAGUAACGAUAAAGCGGGUGAAAAGCCCGCUCGCCGGAAGACCAAGGGUUCCUGUCCAACGUUAAUCGGGGCAGGGUGAGUCGACCCCUAAGGCGAGGCCGAAAGGCGUAGUCGAUGGGAAACAGGUUAAUAUUCCUGUACUUGGUGUUACUGCGAAGGGGGGACGGAGAAGGCUAUGUUAGCCGGGCGACGGUUGUCCCGGUUUAAGCAUGUAGGCUGAUUGUCCAGGCAAAUCCGGAUAAUCAAGGCUGAGGUGUGAUGACGAGGCACUACGGUGCUGAAGUAACAAAUGCCCUGCUUCCAGGAAAAGCCUCUAAGCAUCAGGUAACAUCAAAUCGUACCCCAAACCGACACAGGUGGUCAGGUAGAGAAUACCAAGGCGCUUGAGAGAACUCGGGUGAAGGAACUAGGCAAAAUGGUGCCGUAACUUCGGGAGAAGGCACGCUGGUGUGUAGGUGAAGUCCCUGCGGAUGGAGCUGAGACCAGUCGAAGAUACCAGCUGGCUGCAACUGUUUAUUAAAAACACAGCACUGUGCAAACACGAAAGUGGACGUAUACGGUGUGACGCCUGCCCGGUGCCGGAAGGUUAAUUGAUGGGGUUAUCCGUAAGGAGAAGCUCUUGAUCGAAGCCCCGGUAAACGGCGGCCGUAACUAUAACGGUCCUAAGGUAGCGAAAUUCCUUGUCGGGUAAGUUCCGACCUGCACGAAUGGCGUAAUGAUGGCCAGGCUGUCUCCACCCGAGACUCAGUGAAAUUGAACUCGCUGUGAAGAUGCAGUGUACCCGCGGCAAGACGGAAAGACCCCGUGAACCUUUACUAUAGCUUGACACUGAACAUUGAGCCUUGAUGUGUAGGAUAGGUGGGAGGCUUUGAAGCGUGGACGCCAGUCUGCGUGGAGCCAACCUUGAAAUACCACCCUUUAAUGUUUGAUGUUCUAACGUUGGCCCCUGACCGGGGUUGCGGACAGUGUCUGGUGGGUAGUUUGACUGGGGCGGUCUCCUCCCAAAGCGUAACGGAGGAGCACGAAGGUUAGCUAAUCCUGGUCGGACAUCAGGAGGUUAGUGCAAUGGCAUAAGCUAGCUUGACUGCGAGCGUGACGGCGCGAGCAGGUGCGAAAGCAGGUCAUAGUGAUCCGGUGGUUCUGAAUGGAAGGGCCAUCGCUCAACGGAUAAAAGGUACUCCGGGGAUAACAGGCUGAUACCGCCCAAGAGUUCAUAUCGACGGCGGUGUUUGGCACCUCGAUGUCGGCUCAUCACAUCCUGGGGCUGAAGUAGGUCCCAAGGGUAUGGCUGUUCGCCAUUUAAAGUGGUACGCGAGCUGGGUUUAGAACGUCGUGAGACAGUUCGGUCCCUAUCUGCCGUGGGCGCUGGAGAAUUGAGGGGGGCUGCUCCUAGUACGAGAGGACCGGAGUGGACGCAUCACUGGUGUUCGGGUUGUCAUGCCAAUGGCACUGCCCGGUAGCUAAAUGCGGAAGAGAUAAGUGCUGAAAGCAUCUAAGCACGAAACUUGCCCCGAGAUGAGUUCUCCCUGAGACUCUAAGUCUCCUGAAGGAACGUUAAAGACGAUGACGUUGAUAGGCCGGGUGUGUAAG
rnacentral:rRNA from 1 species